GCUUAAGAGACGCGUGCGAAGCCGCGGGAAACAGCUAGUAAGAUAUAUUAUUCCGUCUGAAUUAAUUUUGUUUUGAACAUAUAUUUGCCAGUAGUUCCGCCAGCUGUUCGACGAGGCAACAAUGUGGUAUGCUACAAUUGCUGUUAUUCAAAGGAUUUUUCUCGUGGCCCGUGAUAUACUGCGACUCCCUCCUAAAGGGUAUAUUUUUAUCUCUGCUAAUACUGAUAAGAUAUUGGCAGUUUAAUUUCCGAUUCGAAAACGUAGAGAUAAGACAGUGAAUUAUUAACGGAAACAGUUAAACGUUGUUUACUGUUAAGGUUAAACAUUUCUACAGGUAUAACUAUUAUUAUGCCAGUUAUUACAUAAUUUUUAGAUUCAAAAAGUUCGUAUAAGGACUGUUUGGAAUUUUAAAAUCACGAAAAGUAUAUCUUACUAGGCCUAAUGCCUUAAUAACAUUAUGCCAGCAAUGAGUGUUUUGAAACAUUGCUUGAGAAAACCUUUUUUUAAUUCAUCACAUUAGUGGUUAUGAAGUGUAUAUGUAAAAAAUUAAAUAUCCACCCAAAUAAUGUAAUUUAGUUUAAAUCAGAUGUAUACGGUUUCAAAACAGCACAAAAAUCAUAGCAACCAAUAUGUUGUUUAACUGUUAGUACCAGAUGUAAAAAGAUGUCAACAAAAGCCUCAAAACUUGCUGAUAAAGAAAAUUACAAACAUCCAUUAUAUAUUUCUCAAAAUGGCUCAUGGAAAAUUAUUAAAAGUCUCUAUUUAGAUGAACACACAAGCGAGUUUACAAAUAUUUCAGCAAUAUAUAACCAUUACAAGCUUCAGCAUGCAAACCUUAAUUUUAAUCAGCUCUUUAAAGUAGAAGAAUACAUAAACAAUAAAAUUAAAGGACA